rnacentral:rRNA from 1 species
UACAGAGGGUGCGAGCGUUAAUCGGAAUUACUGGGCGUAGAGCGUGCGUAGACGGUUAUUUAAGUCAGAUGUGAAAGCCCCGGGCUCAACCUGGGAAUUGCAUUUGAGACUGAAUAGCUAGGGUACGGUAGAGGGAAGUGGAAUUUCCGGUGUAGCGGUGAAAUGCGUAGAUAUCGGAAGGAACAUCAGUGGCGAAAGCGACUUCCUGGACCAGUACCGACGUUCAGGCACGAAAGCGUGGGGAGCAAACAGG